rnacentral:rRNA from 1 species
CAGGUAACACGAAAUCGUACCCCAAACCGACACAGGUGGUCAGGUAGAGAAUACCAAGGCGCUUGAGAGAACUCGGGUGAAGGAACUAGGCAAAAUGGUGCCGUAACUUCGGGAGAAGGCACGCUGGUGCGUAGGUGAAGCGACUUGCUCGCGGAGCUGAAACCAGUCGAAGAUACCAGCUGGCUGCAACUGUUUAUUAAAAACACAGCACUGUGCAAACACGAAAGUGGACGUAUACGGUGUGACGCCUGCCCGGUGCCGGAAGGUUAAUUGAUGGGGUUAUCGCAAGAGAAGCUCCUGAUCGAAGCCCCGGUAAACGGCGGCCGUAACUAUAACGGUCCUAAGGUAGCGAAAUUCCUUGUCGGGUAAGUUCCGACCUGCACGAAUGGCGUAAUGAUGGCCAGGCUGUCUCCACCCGAGACUCAGUGAAAUUGAACUCGCUGUGAAGAUGCAGUGUACCCGCGGCAAGACGGAAAGACCCCGUGAACCUUUACUACAGCUUGACACUGAACAUUGAGCCUUGAUGUGUAGGAUAGGUGGGAGGCUUUGAAGCGUGGACGCCAGUCUGCGUGGAGCCAACCUUGAAAUACCACCCUUUAAUGUUUGAUGUUCUAACCUGGCGCCAUAAUCUGGCGUGGGGACAGUGUCUGGUGGGUAGUUUGACUGGGGCGGUCUCCUCCCAAAGUGUAACGGAGGAGCACGAAGGUCAGCUAAUCCUGGUCGGACAUCAGGAGGUUAGUGCAAUGGCAUAAGCUGGCUUGACUGCGAGAGUGACGGCUCGAGCAGGUGCGAAAGCAGGUCAUAGUGAUCCGGUGGUUCUGUAUGGAAGGGCCAUCGCUCAACGGAUAAAAGGUACUCCGGGGAUAACAGGCUGAUACCGCCCAAGAGUUCAUAUCGACGGCGGUGUUUGGCACCUCGAUGUCGGCUCAUCACAUCCUGGGGCUGAAGUAGGUCCCAAGGGUAUGGCUGUUCGCCAUUUAAAGUGGUACGCGAGCUGGGUUUAGAACGUCGUGAGACAGUUCGGUCCCUAUCUGCCGUGGGCGCUGGAGAAUUGAGGGGGGUUGCUCCUAGUACGAGAGGACCGGAGUGAACGCAUCACUGGUGUUCGGGUUGUCAUGCCAAUGGCACUGCCCGGUAGCUAAAUGCGGAAGAGAUAAGUGCUGAAAGCAUCUAAGCACGAAACUUGCCCCGAGAUGAGUUCUCCCUGAGACCUUGAGUCUCCUGAAGGAACGUUGAAGACGACGACGUUGAUAGGCCGGGUGUGUAAGCGCAGCGAUGCGUUGAGCUAACCGGUACUAAUGAACCGUGAGGCUUAACCUUACAACGCCGAAG